CUUCACGGUCCGCGGGAGGCGGAACGAUACUCUCUGAGCUUCGGAAAGUGUCCAUCCGGAACCAAUCCCUAGCGUCUCCGACUCGACUAGCUUGCUCCGGGGUGGGCGGAGUUAGAGCGCGGAACUUCUCUUGUCCAAUCCCAAGGGUUACCGCACCGGCGUGGCCCGCCCCCUCAUUCUGCUCUUCCGGUAGACACACCCCGCAGAGAGCAGCGCCGCCAACGGCCGAACGGUGGCGCGCGACUCUCACUGAGCGCGGAAAGAACGGUCCUCGCGCUCGCCGUGAUUGACUAGCGAUCACGGGGCGGGGCUUAAGCGGGCCUCUGGGAUGUGAUUGGCUAAUGUCGUGGCUGGCACUAGGAAGGCUGGGCUGGCUGGAGAGCUCUGGAAACCGCACAGGGAAAAACCUUAGAGGGGGAGAGAGCCGUGUCAGCGGCUCGGGCUGCUAAGGCGUCUGUCAGCUGGUGAGCGCUUCCGGGAGCUACUCUGAGGGAUUCCUGGCUUUGAGGACAGCGGUCGAAGAGACUGUGGCGAGUGUUGUCAACAUUUGGAUCACCCCUGAGACAAGAUGGCGCGGCGGUGAGAGGGAUACAGGAUCGAGUCCAGGUCGGCAAGGACCAGGGUUUGAAUCCCGUCUCUACACGUUUUCCAGAGUUGAAAAAAAUCACUGCCAUGGCCGGCCGUGGAGGCGCACUCUGGAGGCAGAGGCAGGCAGAUCUCUGAGCUGGAGGACAGCCAGGGCUACACAGAGAAACCCUGUCUCAAAAAAACAAAACAAAAAUAUUAACUACCACCAUUUAUGACGAUAUACACAAUUGAAACUUACCUUUUGCUAUCAUAUCUUUUAAAGGAAAAAAGAAGAAAAAAAAAACACGAACAAACAAACAAAAAACCGGCCUGGAAUGGAAGUGUACCAUUACACUGUGAGUCUGGGGAAGUAAAUGAAUAGAUAAAUUAGUUUUCACACUUGACCAGUGCAAAAAGGUCAAGAAGCAAUGAAAUUGACUUUAGUAGUACAUUUAACUCAAUAAACAAGAAUGUGAAUUUCAAAUACGAUCAGUACAAAAGUAUUAAUGAGCUGCCUUGCAUCCUUUUAUUCAUUGAGAAGUCUUCGGGAUCCUGUGUGUGUUUCACAUUCAAACACAUUUGUAACCUGGCAAGGGAAUCUUCACUUUGAUUUGAAAGAGGAUCCCCUAAAGAUGCCAUCACCCCCAGACAGCAGGAGGCUUCAUCUCUGCUCUGGCUAAAGAAGGUCUCACCUUGGGUAAUGCCUGGGGGACACUCACCAACCUAAGACAGAGCACCUGUGUGGCCUGGGCAGGCGUCUCCAUGACGGGUAAGGUGACCUGCUGACAUCCCACGCAACCUAAGUCAGAAGCUCAUUUUUUAGUAACAGGGGGACCUGUAGCUUCCUGGCCCCCUGUUUUGGGUAACUGUUGCCUUGCUUGCUGACCUUGACCUUGAUAUCCUCCCUAUACUAAUUCCCU